CACCGGUUCCCCAGCUCCCAAAGAGCCCUCAAUGAAAGGAUUCAGCAGCGGUGCCUCUAUUAUUAUCCCGUAAAUCUUUUUAAAUUCUGGAACUAAUUAUAUAGAGGAUAUGUCUCAAUUUGUUCUGCAUUAAUGCCACAGUGGGGAUGGAGACCAGGCCGUGGCCAGAGCAGAUAUGGGAGCCCAUGAAAUUGAUGAACUGAGAGGUGCUUCCAGUCCAGAGCGCACCAUCUGGAAUUCCAGUCUGAGGUUACAAUUAGAACUCCUGACCCCAGAUUCAACUUUGCAAGCAAG
ensembl:misc_RNA Gm56384 predicted gene, 27538